AGAGUUUGAUCCUGGCUCAGGAUGAACGCUGGCGGCGUGCUUAACACAUGCAAGUCGAACGAUCCUUCGGGAUAGUGGCGGACGGGUGAGUAACGCGUGGGAAUCUGCCCUUAGGAGGGGGAUAACGGCCGGAAACGGCCGCUAAUACCCCAUAUGCCGAGAGGUGAAACGAAUUUCGCCUGAGGAUGAGCCCGCGUCUGAUUAGCUAGUUGGUGGGGUAAAGGCCUACCAAGGCGACGAUCAGUAGCUGGUCUGAGAGGAUGAUCAGCCACACUGGGACUGAGACACGGCCCAGACUCCUACGGGAGGCAGCAGUGGGGAAUUUUCCGCAAUGGGCGAAAGCCUGACGGAGCAACGCCGCGUGAGGGAUGAAGGCCUCUGGGCUGUAAACCUCUUUUCUCAAGGAAGAAGAACUGACGGUACUUGUGGAAUAAGCCACGGCUAAUUCCGUGCCAGCAGCCGCGGUAAUACGGGAGUGGCAAGCGUUAUCCGGAAUUAUUGGGCGUAAAGCGUCCGCAGGCGGCCUUGUAAGUCUGUUGUUAAAGCGUGGAGCUCAACUCCAUUUAAGCAAUGGAAACUACAAGGCUGGAGUGUGGUAGGGGCAGAGGAAAUUCCCGGUGUAGCGGUGAAAUGCGUAGAUAUCGGGAAGAACACCAGUGGCGAAGGCGCUCUGCUGGGCCAUAACUGACGCUCAUGGACGAAAGCCAGGGGAGCGAAAGGGAUUAGAUACCCCUGUAGUCCUGGCCGUAAACGAUGAACACUAGGUGUCGGGGGAAUCGACCCCCUCGGUGUCGUAGCCAACGCGUUAAGUGUUCCGCCUGGGGAGUACGCACGCAAGUGUGAAACUCAAAGGAAUUGACGGGGGCCCGCACAAGCGGUGGAGUAUGUGGUUUAAUUCGAUGCAACGCGAAGAACCUUACCAAGGUUUGACAUCCUGCGAAUCCCUUGGAAACGAGGGAGUGCCUUCGGGAGCGCAGUGACAGGUGGUGCAUGGCUGUCGUCAGCUCGUGUCGUGAGAUGUUGGGUUAAGUCCCGCAACGAGCGCAACCCACGUCUUUAGUUGCCAGCAUUCAGUUGGGCACUCUAGAGAGACCGCCGGUGAUAAACCGGAGGAAGGUGUGGAUGACGUCAAGUCAUCAUGCCCCUUACAUCCUGGGCUACACACGUACUACAAUGCUACGGACAAAGGGCAGCAAGCUCGCGAGAGUUAGCAAAUCCCAUAAACCGUGGCUCAGUUCAGAUCGUAGGCUGCAACUCGCCUACGUGAAGGAGGAAUCGCUAGUAAUCGCAGGUCAGCAUACUGCGGUGAAUACGUUCCCGGGCCUUGUACACACCGCCCGUCACACCAUGGAAGUUGGCCAUGCCCGAAGUCGUUACUCCAACCCUUGUGGAGGAGGACGCCGAAGGUGGGGCUGAUGACUGGGGUGAAGUCGAAACAAGGUA
rnacentral:rRNA from 1 species